rnacentral:tmRNA from 1 species
GGGGGUGACUGGUUUCGACUUCGUACGCAGCGACAGGGGAAGCGAGCCGAGGAAGCCGACGUCGUCUCGAGAAUCGGUCGUCGGAAACUUAUAAGCGCCAAGCAAAAUCGCGCUGACUUCGCUCUCGCCGCCUGAGGCGAGUAGCUGAGUCUGUCGGCCUGGGAACGCCUUCGUCCCAAUAGCCGGCAUCAGUUAGAGGGCUGGCCAAUCGGACCCGGUCGCGGGGUCCGUGCGGCGAGAUUAAUCAGCGACUGGGCCCGUCACACCAACUCGCUCGCGUGAGCGGUGGGGCCGAGUAGAGGCAUAGCGAGCUGCGCUCGGAGAAGCCCUGACAAACCGGCGAAGGACCCGGGUUCGAUUCCCGGCACCUCCACCC